GAGUAAUGUCUGGGAAACUGCCUGAUGGAGGGGGAUAACUACUGGAAACGGUGGCUAAUACCGCAUAACGUCGCAAGACCAAAGAGGGGGACCUUCGGGCCUCUUGCCAUCAGAUGUGCCCAGAUGGGAUUAGCUUGUUGGUGAGGUAACGGCUCACCAAGGCGACGAUCCCUAGCUGGUCUGAGAGGAUGACCAGCCACACUGGAACUGAGACACGGUCCAGACUCCUACGGGAGGCAGCAGUGGGGAAUAUUGCACAAUGGGCGCAAGCCUGAUGCAGCCAUGCCGCGUGUAUGAAGAAGGCCUUCGGGUUGUAAAG
rnacentral:rRNA from 6 species